AACGAACGCUGGCGGCAUGCCUAACACAUGCAAGUCGAACGAGACCUUCGGGUCUAGUGGCGCACGGGUGCGUAACGCGUGGGAACCUGCCCUUAGGUUCGGAAUAACUCCCCGAAAGGUGUGCUAAUACCGGAGAAUGUCUUCGGACCAAAGAUUUAUCGCCUUUGGAUGGGCCCGCGUUGGAUUAGCUAGUUGGUAGGGUAAAAGCCUACCAAGGCGACGAUCCAUAGCUGGUCGGAGAGGAUGAUCAGCCACACUGGGACUGCGACACGGCCCAGAAUCCUACGGGAGGCAGCAGUGGGGAAUAUUGGACACUGGGCGCAAGCCUGAUCCAGCAAUGCCGCGUGAGUGAUGAAGGCCUUAGGGUUGUAAAGCUCUUUUACCCGGGAUGAUAAUGACAGUACCGGGAGAAUAAGCUCCGGCUAACUCCGUG
rnacentral:rRNA from 1 species